AGCUGCAGAAGAAGCACCGGCUAACUCCGUGCCAGCAGCCGCGGUAAUACGGAGGGUGCGAGCGUUAAUCGGAAUUACUGGGCGUAAAGCGCAUGCAGGUGGUUUGUUUAAGUCAGAUGUGAAAGACCCGGGGCGUCAACCUCGGAAUAGCAUUUGAAACUAGGCAGACUAGAGUACUGUAGAGGGGGGUAGGAAGUUUCAGGUGUAGCGGUGAAAUAGCGUAGAGAUCUGAAGGAAUACCGGUGGCGAAGGCGGCCCCCUCGGACAGAUACUGACACUCAGAUGCGAAAGCGUGGGGAGCAAACAGGAUUAGAUACCCUGGUAG
rnacentral:rRNA from 1 species